rnacentral:rRNA from 1 species
CACGUAGGCGGAUAUUUAAGUCAGGGGUGAAAUCCCAGAGCUCAACUCUGGAACUGCCUUUGAUACUGGGUAUCCUGAGUAUGGAAGAGGUAAGUGGAAUUCCGAGUGUAGAGGUGAAAUUCGUAGAUAUUCGGAGGAACACCAGUGGCGAAGGCGGCUUACUGGUCCAUUACUGACGCUGAGGUGCGAGAGCGUGGGGGGCAAACA